rnacentral:lncRNA from 1 species
UGCAGCUUUGAUUUUUGGCUAUUCAACAACCUGAUUAUAGCACAAUAAAUUUGUGGCGAGACAAAUGAAUUGCAAAAAAAAAUUGGAAGAUAAUUUGACUUUAAAAAAUUAUUUGAUGCUUUAGACACAAAGCUAACUGCACCUUUAACCAUUUCUUUCAUUUAUGUGUUUUUAAUCUUUCUGCUGAAACAGUCCCCACUGAGAUUCAUGACUAGUGGAAUAUAAUUCUAAGGAAAGAGGUCAGGGAGAUUAAUUUGUGUGGAACCAUCUCACUGGAGAUCUCGGUGGCAGAAAUUCCAAGUUGAGAGGGUCUCCUGGUCAUGAGGAUACUGCAUAGAGAAGUCUAAGCCCUGGACUAUGCACAAGUGGAAAAGAUCCCAAAGGAGGGCAGUGGUGAAGGAAGCUAUCUCCCGGCCUGACAUCGUCGUGUGUGAGCCCUGCAUGUUACCUGCCAUUCUAACACCUUAAAGGAUGCUUGAUGGGCUACUGAUUGAUGCCCCUGCCUUGCUCAAAAUGUUUGCUGCCGCAUGAAGCAGGAAGAUACUGUGAAAGAAAUGAUUUCAUAGAAAGAAUAUGAAUUUCUCAUCGAACUUAGUUAUUGGGAGGGGGAACAACUAUUUGCACAAAUGAACUGGACAGUUAGGAUUCUAAUUUUAUUUUGUGAAUUCUAGUACCUUAUCACCUUUUUUUUUCUAGUCCAAAGGUGCUUAUUAACUCCCCAGAUUUCGCAAACUAUUAUCUAGUGGAUCAGUGAUAAUACACACCAUAAACUAUCAUGGUCCCACAUACUUAUUUUCAUUGAAUUUGACUUUAAAAAAGCCAUUUUCUAGUCUCCUUGUCCUGUCCUCCUUUGUCCUGUUUCCUACACCAGGUGAUUUAUACUUUAGUUAUCUGAUCAGGCCUGACUUUCUGUUGGAAGAAUGAAGGUUAACAACAUUUUCUCUCUUUUUUCUAUCCUCUGUUACCAAAUUUCAUCUUUCAGUGGAUGACACAUCGACUUUUUGACUAAAUACAAUGUUAAAUGUAGAACUGGAUCUUCUAUAAUAACAAAUGUUGUCUUGUUUUGGGGAAAUAUGAGAAAGAAUUUGUGGAAUAAAUGAAUAAGAAGUUUGAAUGUUUACUGAAAA